rnacentral:tRNA from 1 species
GUGGUGUAACGGUUAGCAUGCUGGACUAUGACCUGCGAGACGUGGGUUCGAAUCCCCACUCA